UUUGACCUGAGGGUUAAAUAAUUUUAUUUAAAUUCCGUAUGCAUUACAAAUGUUUGAAAAAGAUUAAUACAUCACUUAGACAUACAUACAUAUAAAACUAUACCGAAAUAUACAUUAAAACAAAGGAAAAGAUCACGUGAAGGCUUUUUAAAACUUUAUUGAACAUAUACAUGAACAUAAACAUUUUUUCAGACACAUACUCAAAAUAUUUUUUCAAAAGAAGUGUGCUUCUUCCGUUGUUGUGUUUUGUUUUUGUUGUUGUGACUUUUUUGUCACCUUUUUUCUAAAGUUUUCCCACAUUUUUGUCCUGGAAGAAACAACCCGAAAGUGGACGUUGCUGCUUCAUGAAUCCAGCUGUGAAGGAGAAGGAACCCGUUUCUGUCGAGUUACUGAAACCUGAAGAAACUCUGUGUCGGAGCUGAUGAUGAUGAUGGUGAUGAUGAUGGUGAUGAUGAUGAUGAUGAUGAUGAUGAUGAUGAAGAAGAUGCCUCGGUAUCGCUGCAGCGAUGGCUCUCUGUUGUUUUCCCGCUGGUCAGACACCCUGAUCUGCGUCUGGAAGGUGAGUUUGAUUUAUCCACCAGCUUCAGCUGCUUUUGCGAUGUAGGGUUGCAUUAGUCAACUUUGAGACAAGCUAAGUUAAUGUUAGCCUGUGUCUUCAGCUGCAUGCUACCAGCCACUAAGCUACACUGUUGGUGGGUCUCAAAUCGCGCACUUCUGUACUUACACCAGCUGUUUUGAGUACAAAAUGUGUUCACGUUGUCGAGGUGUGGUCAAAUGGAGUGCGUUACAAGUACUCGGAUGGUGCCCUCAUGACUAGGGAUGCACCAAAUCCAGAUUUUUGGGGUUGGGCUGAGUCCUGAAUCCCCUGGUUGAGAUUGUGCUGCCUC